CAAAGAAUAGUUUAAUGAAGAACCCUAGCUUUGGGAGUUAGGGGUGGGGGUUGAAUUCUCCUCUUCUUUGA
rnacentral:tRNA from 1 species